rnacentral:rRNA from 1 species
GAUCCUGGCUCAGGACGAACGCUGGCGGCGUGCCUAAUACAUGCAAGUAGAACGCUGAAGAGAGGAGCUUGCUCUUCUUGGAUGAGUUGCGAACGGGUGAGUAACGCGUAGGUAACCUGCCUGGUAGCGGGGGAUAACUAUUGGAAACGAUAGCUAAUACCGCAUAAUAGUAGAUGUUGCAUGACAUUUGCUUAAAAGGUGCAAUUGCAUCACUACCAGAUGG